rnacentral:lncRNA from 1 species
AACCUGGUUUUGACAAAGGCUCGCAUAAAGAAAGAAAAAUAAAAUACUUGCCUGAUUUCAUUUCAUGUAUGAAUGACGGCUGUCCUUGUUAAUGGAGGCAUAGAACCCCCAAAACAUGAAUCCCGAAAUUGUAACUUGAGGAAAUCUUCUACAACCCUUGUUGAAAAGCACUGAUAUAUGUGAUGAACAAGAUCUGGAGCGUGACUCCAAGAACACAGAUCUGAAGUUCUUAGGAUAGAACGAGAUCUGAUCAACAAGUGUAUAGCAUAUACUCGGUGGGCGCCAAUGAAGAAACACGGGUUCACUGCCGGGAUGAUUGGGCCGGUUUCUCUGAGGGGGUGAAGAAUCGCACCUUUGUUCUUCCUCUUGAACCUAGAUCUGCAAUGGAGAAGAGAAGAAAGUGGAGCUGUAGAGAUUGCCGCAAACAACAUUAUCACCGUUCAUUUACACACAAUUCAUAACAUCACAGUUCAUCGGUACCGCCGUCGGACAUCAGUACCGACCGCCGUCGGACCUCAAUGCUGUCGGACUUCAGUACCGCCGUCGGACCUCGGUACCACCUUCGCCGGAGCUAAUCGACACCACAGUCAUCGGUACCACCUUCGUCGGAGCUAAUCGGCACCACAGUCGUUCGAACCGUUCAUUCAACAUUAUCACCGUUCAUUUACACACAGUUCAUUCAACACCUAACUCAAUGCCGUCGGACCUCGGUACCGCCGUCGGACCUCGGUACCACCUUCGCCGGAGCUAAUUGACACCACAGUCAUCGGUACCACCUUCGUCGGAGCUAAUCGGCACCACAGUCGUCGGAGCUAAUCGCUUAAAGAUCUUAUAAUCGGCCAAGGUUAGUUGUGAUUUCCGGUCAAAUCUUGUCACAGAUCUCGUUUAUGGUGUUAGGUGUUUGCUUUAUCGAGUUUUGUGUUUAGAGGUGCGGUGAUUUUGAGAGACGGUGGUGGGAUUUUUAGGGAAGAUGUCAGCGGUGGUAGGUUUUUAGGGAAGAUGUCGGCGGUGGUAGAUUUUUUUGGGGAAGAUGUCGGCGGUGGGGGUGGUACAAUGGUGAUUGUUGGUGUUGGUGGCCGGUUGUGGUGGUUAUUGGUGCAGGUAGCAGGUGGUGGUGGCUGUUAGGGUUGAUGGUGAGGUGGUGACUGUUGGUGGUGGUGGUUGUUGGUGAUGGAGAAAAGAGGGGGUGUAGAGAGAAGAUAGAUGCUAGAGAGAGAUGAUCAGAUAUGAGUUUUAUCAAAUAUUAUUAUUCUUUGAUAUAUUUAUUUGUAGUUUUACUAAUAUACCCUUACUU